rnacentral:lncRNA from 1 species
UCAUAGUGGAGCAUUGGAUGAUAUAUUGUAUCUGUCGUGAGGUACAUGGUUCAUGGAUAUGCCAACCUGCAGCUUGUUGUACUAGUGAUAGUAGGAUAAUGCAAGUUUUGACAAUCCAUACAUAUUCCUGCGUGUUAGUGUCUCUCCGUGUAAGUACGAAUUCUGGUGAGAAUAAUACAAUUAUUAUUUAACUAGGCUAGAUUUUUAACAUUUGAUGUGCUUCCAAGGGACACAGAUCUCCACUCUUCUAUAUAAUCCACACUUUGUUCUGGAAGCAAGUCAGUUGUACCAUGCUGUUACAUCACAACAAGGUGUCAUUUGAUGUACUGCUGCUGUUGAUGCUCCCUAGAGUCUAGAUGUAGAUGUACUGCUGUUGUUGAUGCUCUAGCUGUAGCCUGUACUAUUGUUGUUUUGCUAUUGCAGUGUUAGUUUCGCUGCUGCUAGCUGUUGGCUGCUAGUAGUUAGUACUUAGUAGUUACUGCUAGCAGUGCUAGUAGCUGCUGCUGCUUCUAUUGCUUGUGCAAUUGUGCUAGUAGCCAGUAGAUGUUCAUUGCAUGACCUGCACUACUAGCUAGUACAUGUGCUGGUACUUGUACGCUAGUAUUGUUGGUGUGUUGAAUGUCUUAGUAGAACAUCAUCAGGUUGAUGUGUUGUAGUCAAGUUUUGGAAGUUUUGCUAUGCCAUGCUUAGUGUUUACUGAACUAAGGUAUUUGGGCAUUUAUGUGUAAUUUUUAUUCUCUUGAAUGCAUAUUUUUUAUUGGCAAUCAUUUAACUUCCACUGUAUCUCACUUAUAAUUUAUGCAGAUCAGGAUCUAAUGUUGUUGGGGUGGCUGUUGUUGUGACCAUGAUCAGAAGAAGCCUGGAGAUGUGCACAAUAGUUUUAGUUGAUGUUGCCACCAUGUUUUGGUGCAUGUGUAUUUCUUUUUGAUUGUAUGCAAACUUGAUGGAUCAUGCAGACGUGUAUGUGCUGUUGUGAGUUUCAUUGAGUGAUUUCUGGAUUUGAUCAUUUAAUUGAGAGAAUUAUUGAUUGUUUGUUGUUGAAAUGUGUAAAAGAAAUCUGUGAAUGAAAAGGCUGAAUGUUCUAUUGGAUCAAAUAAUAUUUGGGCUCUAAAAAGGCUAUGGCCCAAACAAUAGUGGACGGGAAUAUUGCGCAUUUACAAAAAAAGGUAUAAA